rnacentral:snRNA from 1 species
AUACUUACCUGGCAGGGGAGAUACCAUGAUCACGAAGGUGGUUUUCCCAGGGCGAGGCUUAUCCCUUGCACUCCGGAUGUGCUGACCCCUGCGAUUUCCCCAAAUGUGGGAAACUCGACUGCAUAAUUUGUGGUAGUGGGGGACUGCGUUCGCGCUCUCCCAUG